UACGAAGGGGGCUAGCGUUGCUCGGAAUUACUGGGCGUAAAGGGCGCGUAGGCGGAUAUCUAAGUUGGGGGUGAAAUCCCGGGGCUCAACCUCGGAAUUGCCUUCAAAACUGGAUAUCUUGAGUUCGGGAGAGGUGAGUGGAACUCCGAGUGUAGAGGUGAAAGUCGUAGAUAUUCGGAAGAACACCAGUGGCGAAGGCGACUCACUGGCCCGAUACUGACGCUGAGGCGCGAAAGCGUGGGGAGCAAACAGG
rnacentral:rRNA from 1 species